rnacentral:rRNA from 1 species
ACUUUUAAUAACAGAUCUCUUAGUUUUAGUAUUAAUAAAGAAUAUAGCAAAAUAUAAUAAGUAAUAUAAAUUAUAGAAUUUAGUAAAUUAUUAAAUCUUUAAACGUAUAUUACGCCUACUAGUAUUCUAGUAGGUAUACCUAUUUAAGCGUUAUUUUAACCCUUAAGCUUUACUUAGUGUUAGGGCCUUAUAGCGUACGUUAUAGGCCCUUAAAGGUAGUAGCAGACCCUCUUAAAGCCUCCUUUAUAUAGUAACUAACGUCUUAUAUUAAGAUCUAGAGGGACUCUUACUAUAAAACCCCUAACUUUUUAACUAGUUAACCUUAGAUUAGGUAGGAAUACCUACUAAACUUAAGUAUAUUAAUAAGUAGAGGAAAAGAAACUAAUAGGGAUUACCUUAGUAACAGUAAGUAAAGUAGUAACAGCUUAAAUUUAAAAUCUAGCCUUAGGCCUAAGUUAUAAUUUAUAGAGGAUACUUUUAGUGUAGUGCCUUCUAAGUUCUUUAGAACAGGACGCUAUAGAGGGUAAAAGCCUUAUAUAGUUAGACACUAAGCCUUUAUAAAGCUUCUUUAAUAAGUUAAGUAGUUUAGGAAUACUACUUAAAAUAGGAGGUAUAUUUCUUCUAAAGCUAAAUAUUAGCUAGAGACUAAUAGUAUAUAAGUAAAGUAAUUAAAAGAUAAAAAGCACUUUAAAAAAAGGGUUAAAUAGUAUAUAAAAUUAUUAAAAGGGAAGCGCUUAUAACUAGACUUACGCCUAGUAAAUCACCUAGCUUUUAUAGCUAGGGCACUUUACUAGUAUAGGCUAGUAUUAGCUUACCGUUAGGGAUAAAAGCUUAGGGAACGUAGCUCUUUUUAGGGAGUGUUAUAGCCCCUUAUAUAAUACCCUUUAGUAGGCUAAAGUACACGUUUAUAAAGAUACUAGCGUAAUAGUUAUUAGUAACCUAUCUUAAAACAUAGACUAAGGAGUUAACUUUAUAUAUAAGUGUUUAAGUGUUAAACCCCUAUACGUAAUAAAAGUAAAUAUAGGUAAAAGCUUUAGCGUAUUAUUAACUAAUCCUAAUAUUCUUAAAUAGAUUUAAGUAAGAGUAUAUAGGGUUAGACCUAAAAGAAGGUAAACUAUAUAUAUAUAAAGUAAAGCUAGAGGAAACUCUAGUAAAGGCUUAUAGUAGUUCUAACGUAUAAAUUAAUUAUUAAAUAUAUAUAUAGGGGUAAAAGACUAAUUAAACCUUUUAGUAGCUAGUUUCUACUAAAGUUUCCUUUAGGAUAGUAGUGUUAAACUUAGUUUUAUAAGGUAAAGUAAAUAAUUAGGGACUUAAGGGCGCUAUAUAGCCUUUAUUUAUUCUUAAACUUUAAAUAUAUAAGAAGCCUUUAUUACUUAAUUAAAUAUAGGUAUUUAAAUAUAUUAACACUAGUAGGCUAUUUUUAGUAAGUAGAACUAGUAAUAUAAGAUAAACUAAACGUAAGGUUAAGGUGCUAAAGUAGUUACUUAUUAGACACUAUAAAAGGUGUUAGUAUAUCUUAAUAGUAAGAUAGUAGCUAUAGAAGUUAGAAUCUACUAAAGACUAUAUAAUAACUUACCUACUAAAUAUACUAGCCCUAAAAAUAGAUAGCGCUUAAGUAACUUACCUAUACCUUACCCUUAGUAUAGAAAUAAUACGCUAAGGAGUAGGCAGACGUAGAGGUUAGUAAUAAAGCCUAGGGCGUAAGCCUAGGUAGAACGGCCUUUAGUAUAGAUCUUAGUAGUAGUAGUAAAUACUUUAAUAAAAACUUAAAGGACUAAAGUAAGGAAAGGUUCUAUAUAAAUAGUAGUUAGAUAUAGGUUAGUUAAUCCUAAGCUAUAAGGAAGUUCUAUUUUAAAGGAGCACUUAUGCUUUAUAUAGUAAAAAGGAAGCUAGUUAAUAUUCUAGCACCUAGAUAUAGGUUUUACGUAGUAACGUAACUAAACGUAGAGAUAAUAGCAGGGGCCUUAGGCAGAGUUCUCUUUUCUUCUUAACAGUCUAUUACCUUAAAAUCAGUUUGUCUAGAGCUAGGGUUUAAUAGCUAGAAAAGCCUAGCACUUCUGUUAGGUCUAGUGCGCUCUUAACGUCCCUUAAAAAUCUAUAAGAAGGAAUAAUUCUUACGCUAGGUUAUACUUAUAACUAUAGUAGGUCUCUAAGGUAAACAGCCUCUAGUUAAUAGAAUAAUAUAGAUAAGGGAAGUUAGUAAAAUAGAUCUAUAACUUUAGGAUAAGGAUUAGCUUUAAGGGUUAGGUACGUUAGGCUUUAGGCAGAUAGCCUAGAAGUAGGUUACUACUAGCUAGGUAACUAGCUAGAGGCUUUUAGUAUUUAGGUUCUAACGCCUUUAGUAGGCUUUAGCUAUCUAGCGUAUAAUUAAUAACUAACUUAGAACUAGUAUAGAUAAGGGGAAUCUAACUGUCUAAUUAAAAUAUAGUAUUAUAAUAGCUAGAAAGUGGUGUUAACGUAAUAUAAUUUCUACCUAGUGCUUUAAAUAUUAAAGUAAAGUAAUUUAACUAAGUGUAAGUAAAUAGCAGGAGUAACUAUAACUCUCUUAAGGUAGCUAAAUACCUUAUUAUCUAAUUAGUAAUAUAUAUAAAUAGAUUAAUAAGAUUCCUACUGUCUUUAUUUACUAUCUAGUAAAACUAUAGCUAAGGGAACAGGCUUAGUAGAAUUAGUAAGGAAAGAAGACCUUAUUAAGCUUAACUUUAG